AUUGAACGCUGGCGGAAUGCUUUACACAUGCAAGUCGAACGGUAGAGGGGGCAACCCCUUGAGAGUGGCGAACGGGUGAGUAAUAUAUCGGAACGUGCCCAGUCGUGGGGAUAACGUAGCGAAAGUUACGCUAAUACCGCAUACGAUCUAAGGAUGAAAGCGGGGGAUCGCAAGACCUCGCGCGAUUGGAGCGGCCGAUAUCAGAUUAGGUAGUUGGUGAGGUAAAGGCUCACCAAGCCAACGAUCUGUAGCUGGUCUGAGAGGACGACCAGCCACACUGGAACUGAGACACGGUCCAGACUCCUACGGGAGGCAGCAGUGGGGAAUUUUGGACAAUGGACGCAAGUCUGAUCCAGCCAUUCCGCGUGCAGGAUGAAGGCCCUCGGGUUGUAAACUGCUUUGUACGGAACGAAAGGUUUCUAUUAAUACUAGGAGCUCAUGACGGUACCGUAAGAAUAAGCACCGGCUAACUACGUGCCAGCAGCCGCGGU
rnacentral:rRNA from 1 species